GUAAACAGUACGUGAAACCGCAUGCAGGUAAACGGGUGGCGUCAAGCUGCAAGCCCGGAGGAUUCAGCUGGCUAGGAUGUUGUGUAUGCGCCUGGCGCAUCUAUCAGCCGGAGUAAGAUGUGAUAGUCCACUGGUAAACGGUGGGCCCGGCCGCAAGGUUGGGAUAUGUGUACCGGGCGGAAGCCGGAGCAUGCUAUUCGUCUGUUGGGCUGUCUAGUCAGUGCACUUUCUCUGUGGUGAACACCACGACCGGUGGAAUUGCCAGUCUGCUGUAGUCAAGUCGUAUUCAGUCGGUUCUUGUAGCCAACUGGGUGCGAUCACAGGCAAACUCAGUAAACGGCGUAGGGGUGUCUCGGCAUCCUUGCGUGUUAUCGGCUGCUGGUUGUCAACGGGCCUGCCUGAUGAUUGUUGUAACCGUCAUUGGGUGGUCUGGUGGGCUAUGGUGGUAAGAAUAACUGUGCAAGGCAUCGGAGUUCUCGGCCUCAAAUGCAUCCUGCAUACACGUUACAAGUGGAGUGGGGUGCCAUUGCAGCCUGCCUGUUGUUGGGUCUGAUUGUCGUGUCGCCUGCGCAAAGUGGGCCCGGCAGUGGCCUGAUGCGGGAUGGGUUGUGGAUGGUGCUUCCUGUGUAGGGUGCGGUGGGUCAAAUAGUCAG
rnacentral:rRNA from 2 species